AGAGUUUGAUCAUGGCUCAGAAUCAACGCUGGCGGCGCGCCUAACACAUGCAAGUCGAACGAGAAAGUGGAGCAAUCCAUGAGUACAGUGGCGUACGGGUGAGUAACACGUGGGUAAUCUACCUCUUAGUGAGGAAUAACCCUGGGAAACCGGGGCUAAUACCGCAUAAGCCUGAGAAGGGAAAGCAGAAAUGCGCUGAGAGAGGAGCCCGCGGCCGAUUAGCUAGUUGGUGGGGUAAGAGCCCACCAAGGCAGAGAUCGGUAGCCGGCCUGAGAGGGCACACGGCCACACUGGCACUGAAACACGGGCCAGACUCCUACGGGAGGCAGCAGUGGGGAAUCUUGCACAAUGGGGGAAACCCUGAUGCAGCGACGCCGCGUGAGCGAUGAAGCCCUUCGGGGUGUAAAGCUCUUUCGUCAGGGAAGAUAGUGACGGUACCUGGAGAAGCAGCUGCGGCUAACUACGUGCCAGCAGCCGCGGUAAUACGUAGGCAGCAAGCGUUGUUCGGAGUUACUGGGCGUAAAGGGUGUGUAGGCGGUUCUUUAAGUUUGGUGUGAAAUCUCCCGGCUUAACCGGGAGGGUGCGCCGAAUACUGAGGGACUAGAGUACGGGAGAGGAAAGUGGAAUUCCUGGUGUAGCGGUGAAAUGCGUAGAUAUCAGGAGGAACACCGGUGGUGUAGACGGCUUUCUGGACCGUAACUGACGCUGAGACACGAAAGCGUGGGUAGCAAACAGGAUUAGAUACCCUAGUAGUCC
rnacentral:rRNA from 1 species